ACACACACACACACACACACACACACACACAUACACACACAGACUCAGACUCAGUGGUUCAGGUUUGAGUCUCCAGGAAGAACUUUGUCUUCUUGUGAAGACCUGGUGAGCAGCAGAGUGACACACGUCCACUUCCUCCUUCGUGAAAAGCCUCAGUGCGUUGUGGUGCGUUCGAUGGUUCACGUCUCUGUUUAAAUGUGUUUGAUCGUUUCUCACGUCGGAGACACGUGUUUGAACUGAGACAGAAAACUGCACAGAUUCAGCAAACACCAAGACACAAGCUUCACUUCUAGAAAAUCCUGCUGUCGGCAACAUGUGACAUCACUGCAGGAGGUGUCGUCUGAUUGGAUGAUUUUUAACCCAUUUAGAAAAAGUUCAGCUCUGAUUAAAAGGACUUUUCUGCACCAGGUGCCUUCAGGUUUUUCUCUCCCCCUCUCUUUGGGCGUGUUCGGUUUGUAGCUCGGCUGGUUCCCGCUCCGUCAGCUGCGGGCGGGCGGAGCUGCUGCUGCAUUCAGGCGCUGCAGGAAAAAUAAGCAGGUGGUGCAGGUUUACAGAAAACUGCUGCUCAAAACAAAUGACAAAUAUGUGCAGUGUGGACCUGAAGGGACGAGUGUGAGACAACAGAGUUCACGCAGAACACCUGAUGUAGUUUCUUUAGAUGUGAGUGGUUUUAAUCUUUUCCUCUGACACAUGAACCCAUCAUGUCUGUGAUUGGAGCCUGUGACUGUGGUGAAUGUUGUCGAGCAGCAGUUGUUGCAGUUGUUGCAGUUGUUGCGCAUCAUUUCCGGGUGUUGCUGUGGUUUUUCGGUGCCGCGGGCUGAGUGUCGGUUUAACUACCUUAUAAGGACACGAUGUCGAAAAGAGCGGCAGAGACAGGAAGUGGAGACGCUCACUUCUCAUUUCUGUGUCUCACAGUCGGAGCUCAGUCAGACUCUGCUCCAACGCGUCGGUCGAUCGAUCGAAUCAAUGAACCAGAUCUGUGAUCAGGAGACUCCACAGUGAUCACAGCAGAUUCAAAAGGAAGUCACCUGUAAACCUGAUCAGAUCCACAACCAGCUGACGGCUGCAGGUCAGAGGACACAGCUGAGAGCAUUCACUGAUCAAUUCACCCUCUGAUUAAAACUGACAUGUUAAAACAUGUUGAUGACUGUACUGAUCGAUCACUGAUCGAUGGAUGGAUCAGAUGGUUUCAGCGGUGACGUGUUCGGUCUCAGCUGACACAGUUAAACAACACUCAGUCAAACCAGUCAGACCAGUUUCUCUGAAUCCUCAGACUCAGUGGAGGAGGCGGCGUGCAGCUGCCCGCGUGCCUUUCAGCCAGGCACGGUGUGAAGCGCGAACACAGGCCGAGCCGGUACUGUGACGGUAACUGUCUGUCUCUCUGCCUG